GUUGGCUGUUGUCAAGAUAAUAAUGGCUGAUGUUGGUGCAAGCUUAAUCGAUAAGUUCGGAAGACGGUCGCUUCUCCUGGUAUCUUCAGCUGGAUUAUGUGUUGGCAGCUUCCUUACUGGGAUGUCAUUCCUUUUACAGGUUACCACAAGCAGGAUCAUCCCUUGUGGAGUGAAGGAACUCCAAUUUUGGCACUGAUUAGCAUUUGGGUGUAUAUGGGGGGAUGGAAGGAAUUCCUUGGAUUAUAGUGGCAGAGGUUAAUUUACUUAAGUUUUCUAACUUUCUCUCCAUUUACAAAUCCAUCCUAUAUUGCUCCAAGUCUUAAUUUUUCUAGGAACAUCCCUGUCUCCGGACAAGGGUACGUUGAUAUGUUCAUCCAAAGAUCUUCCAAAUAUAUGUUUUACUGCACAUAUUUAACAGUGAAAGGAUUAUGUUUCAGAUUUUCCCCAUAAACAUAAAAGGUGCAGCUGGGAGCUUAGCUGGUCUGACUGGGAAUAUUUGUUCUUGGGCUGUUUCAUACAACUUUAACUUCUUAUUCCAGUGGAGCUCAACAGGGGCAUUCUUCAUAUUUUCAGCAAGUUGUGGUGUUUGUGUCAUAUUUAUUGCAAAGAUGAUACGCGGAGACCAAGGGGCGUACACUUGAAGAAAUACAAGCAUCCCUUACUACUUCUCCAUAGUGAGAACCAAGUGUAUUAACUAUUUGAUAUACUUUCCUGCAAUAUUCCCUUGUAUACACAUCUCGUGUAUUUGGGGUCAUUGUA